rnacentral:lncRNA from 1 species
AGGCCUCUAGCACAGUUUCUCAAUUACUGAACAGGGCACAUCAUUGUGUUUUUAUUGCCAAGCUUGGUCUUAGCCAGUUUGAUAGGGUGUGUUUGGUUCAGGUCAUCAACUGGAAUAUAAUGGGUCCGUCCCAUUCCCAGGGGUGAUUCUCGCGUUUGGUUGGGUCGAAGAACCGGAACCAAGUCAUUCCCUGGAAUGGCAUAUUCGCCCCAGAUGCGGAACCCGCUGGUAUCUCCAAAUCGGAGGAACCACACGGAACGCCUCACGUCUUCCCUUCUCCCCCAACUCUGCCCUCUCUCCCUCGACCAAACCAUGCCCCAGCCUCAACCCUUCGCUCAUGUCUCACCGCCGGCACACUCCUGUCCCUCGUGUCUCCCCGUCGAAAGGAUGACUUGGUCACUGCGGCGGGAUCCUGGGGUCUGACAGGGAAGAGGUGGAGCAGCGGCGGGCGUCCGAUCUGACGAACAGAGCCGCACAGUGGCGGCCGAUCCGACAACGGAGCAGCGGCGGCGGCGGCCGAUCUCGGAGGCAGAGCAGCGCCCGCGACUCCCACUACCUCCUGCUCCACGCGGCCUCCCAGCACCGCCUCCACAUGGGCACCAUCGUCCAUCAGCUCUGCUCGGCUUUCCCUGCCGCCGCCGUCCCUGGGCUACGUGCUACAGAUGGGCAAUCAGCGGCAGUAACGACCAUUUUAUUUGCUAGCUUCUCGUAAUCACAGCAAGCUCUAAUGGGAAGAGAAUUAUGUUCUGCCCCUUGCUAGCUUCCUUUUCCUAAUCACGGUGAUAAGGUACUGGUAGAUACUCUCUCGAUUACUAGCGGCAAUCUCUUGCGGAUACAAGUUAGGUGGCGAUUACAUGAACGAUACAAGAAUUUGGGUGGCUAGGGUGCGUCGCGAGACGGGAAGAGGAAGGGGGAAGAGCCGGCCGCCGUUGCCGUGAUCCUCUGGAUACCGAACCAUUGCGUUGCUGUCUCCUUUAGUAUCGAUGUGGUGGGCUUCACUUGGACCAUUCUGGGCCGCAGGUCCUGCAGCUGGGCUUCCGGGUUCGAGCCGCGCGUGGGGCGGCUUGUGGCUGGUUGGUGUCGCUGUCUUGUGGGGCGCACCUGUCAGGGGCGCUGACAUCCCCCGCUUCUUGAGACGAGGCUUGUCCCCAAGCCUCCGCAAAGGGAAACCUUGCCUGUAGACUUGCCUUGUCCUCCCAUGUUGAUCCUAGAGCGUCGGAGUUGGACCAGCGCACUCGCACCUGUUUGCACAUCUUGCCCUUCUGCUGUUUCCAUCUCGUCUGUAGUAUGGCCACCGGAACCGCAAGUUCAUCAAAGCAUUGAGGAAGACAAGGUUCAGCCGUCAUACCCGGGUUCAGAGCGCGUCGAAGCAGUGAGACAUGGAAAACCGGAUGAAUUGUUGCACUGGCAGGAAGUUGUAACUUGUAGGCCACCUCAUUGAUCUUGCUCACGAUUGGAAAUGGUCCGUAGAACUUGUAAGACAGCUUGUGGUUUGCCCUUGGUGCCACCGAAGUCUGGAUGUAUGGUUGGAGUUUCAGGUAUACCUGGUCCCCCAGUUCGAACGACCUGAACGAUCUUUUCUUGUCCGCUUGGUUCUUCAUGAGUUGGCGCGCUCUAUUCAGAUGUUGUUGCAGCAGUUCUUGAACUGUGUCCCUCUCCUCGAUCCAUGAGUUCAGCGCUGGUACCGCUGUGGUGUUUGCAGCCGAGAUGCCCCAGUGCUUAGGUUCAUAGCCAAACAUUGCCUUGAAUGGUGUCAUCCCAAUCGCUGAAUGGUGAGCAUUGUUGUACCAAAACUGGGCUAAGGGAAUCCAGAAGCUCCAGCGUCGUGGACACGCCUGAGUGAAGCAUCUCAGGAACGUCUCGACACACUGGUUGACUCAUUCCGUCUGUCCGUCUGUUUGUGGGUGAUUGGCCGUGCUGAGGCGUAGUUGAGUGCCUGCUGAUUUGAACAGUUCCUGCCAGAAAUGGCUUGUGAAAACUGGGUCGCGAUCUGACACGAUAGCUCCGGGGAGGCCGUGAAUCUUGUACACCUGCUGCAUGUAUAGUUGUGCCACGGAUGCUGCUGUAUACGGGUGCGCCAGUGGUAAGAAGUAACUGAACUUGGUGCGCUUGUCGACGAUUACGAGUAGGCAGUUGAACCUGCUCGAUUGCGGUAGCCCGUCCACGAAGUCCAUGGAUAUCAUCUCCCAGGGCUGCGUUGGGAUUGGAAACGGGGCUAGCAAUCCCGGGGAUGCUGCUCUAUCCGGCUUUGCUUGCUGGCAUACUGGGCAGCACUGCACAUAGUUCUUGAUCUGUUCCUUCAUCUUGGGCCGCGCAAAGAGGCGGCGAAUGCGCCGAUAGGUGACGGGAAAACCUGAGUGUCCGCCCACCGGGCUGUCGUGGAAGGCUCGCAUGAUCUGUUGCUGAAUUUGAGUCCCUCCGCCUAGCCAUAUCCUUCCUCUGAAACGCAAAAUACCCUGCUGCAACUGGAACCUGCCCUUGGGAUCUUCUCGCACUCCCAACUGCUCUAACAGCUUCUGGGCGUGUGGGUUGUUGUUGUAGCUGCUAACAACAUCUUCCAGCCACCUGGGUUGGCAGGAGGAGACCAUUGACAGUGUCAUCGUUGGAUUAGCUCGAGACAGGGCAUCUGCCCCGUUGUUCUCUGUUCCUUUCUUGUACCUGAUUCUGUAUCUCAGCCCCAGAAGCUUUGCAAAUGCUUUCUGCUGCCAUGGAGUGGUGAGCCGUUGUUCUUCUAGGUGUGUCAAGCUCUUUUGAUCCGUAUAGAUGUCGAACUCCGCAUGCUGCAAGUACGGGCGCCACUGGUCCACAGCCACAAUGAUGGCUAGGUAUUCCUUUUCAUACGUCGACAAUCCUUGGUAGCGUGGACUGAGUGCCUUGCUCAUGAACGCAAUUGGGUGCCCUUUCUGCUGCAGAACUGCUCCGAUUCCCUUAUCACUUGCAUCUGUUUCCACUGUGAAUGGCUGCUCAAAAUUGGGCAGAGCGAGGACAGGUGCUGUUGUCAAGUGCUGUUUCAGAACUUGGAAUGUUGUUUCUGUUGUUGAUGUCCACAUGAAGGGAACGCCUUUCUUCAGUAGGUGGAAGAGAGGCUUGGCAAUGAUCCCGAAGUUACGGACGAAUCGACGAUAAUAGCCUGCCGGUCCCAAAAAGCUACGGACACCUUUGACGUCCUGGGGAGCAGUCCAGUUGGUUACUGCCGCGAUCUUGGUCGGGUCGGUCGCCACCCCUUGUGCGCUGAUGACAUGCCCCAGGUAUGAUAUUUUGCUCUGUCCAAAGGCACACUUGCUACGUUUCACUUUCCACUGAUCCUUGCGAAGGAGUUCCAGCACCUGUUUAACAUGUGUCACGUGCUCUUCCAGUGUAGCGCUGAAGAUCAGGAUAUCAUCGAAGAAGUAUAUCACGCAGACCCUGACCACAGGCUUGAGUGUGCCGUGGAUUGCCCCCAGGAAUGUGGGUGGGGCACCGGUGAGGCCAAACGAAACCACGCGAAACUCGAAGUGGCCCUGGUGCGUUGAGAAAGCUAUCUUGUGCUCCUCCCCUGGCGCGAGGCGUAUUUGAUGAUAGCCUGCGCGGAGAUCCAGCUUGGAGAACCACGCUGCUCCAUGCAGUUCGUCGAGCAGCUCUUCAACGACGGGAACUGGGUACUUACUGGGGACUGUGAUGGCAUUCAGUUGCCUGUAGUCAAUGCAAAGCCGCCAAGUACCGUCCUUCUUCUUAACCAGGAUGACAGGUGACGAGAAUGGACUGUUGUUGCGCUGUAUGACCCCUGAUUUGAGCAGAGCUUCGACUUGUGCUUCGAUCUCUGUUUUCUGUGCUGGUUUGUACCUGUACUGUCUGACGUUGACUGGUUGUGCCCCCGGAAUGAGUGGGAUGCGGUGGUCGCACGCUCGUCGAGGAGGCAAACCCACCGGCUCCUCGAACACAUCCGGGAACUGGUCGACCACACUCUGGAUGCAAGAUGGAGUUGGUUCGAGCUCUUCUGCCUGCGGUGCGACCACGCACAGGUGAACGACAUGCGUGAUCGCGCCCUUGUUGCAUAGGCUCUGAAGCUGGAUGUUGUUGAUCUCCUGGCAACUUGUCGAAGCAGCGUCAUGGCCCAUGAGUCGUAGCGGCCCCGCUGGAGUAGGUAUUUCCAGGAAGCGGGCGCGCCAAUCGACCGUCAUUGGGCUAUGCUCCUCGAGCCAGUCCAUGCCCAGGAUGACGUCAUAUGUGCCCAGGGCAAGCACCUUCAGAUCUGUGUAGAACUCAUGGCCUUGGGCGUACCAGGCGCACGCGGUGGCCACUUGCGUACACAGUAGCUCGCCGCCAUCUGCCACACGGACGCGGCCUGGCUUGGGGAGGGGGUGCACGCCCUUCAGUUGCGCUGCCAGUUGUUCAUUGACGAACGAGUUUGAGCUGCCCGAGUCCACCAGCAUGAGCACCUCUCUUCCUUGCAGCCAUGCUCGAAGCUGAAACGCCUUGGCCGAUACCCCUCCUGUCACUGCUGAUAGGGAAAUCGCCAUUGCCACCUCGCUGGUGCCCUCCUCUGCGAUCUGUGUGUCGAUGCCGUUGUCGAGGCCGAACAUAUCGAGGAGUUCCUCGACAACAUGCAGCUGCACCGUGGUGGGACACACGUGGUCAUGCCCCCACCGUUCGCCGCACUUGAAACACAGUCCGCGGGCGCGCCGGUAGUCACGUAGAGUCUUGAGCUUGGACUGAUCGGCGCGGGCGGCGUCCGUGCCGCGGCGAUCUCCUGCUGGCGUUGGUGGUACCGCUCGCACUGGAGGAGGAGGCAGGGGCAGGGGAUUGCCCUGUCUUGGCGCCUGCUCGGGUGGUCGAGGUAGUGAGCCAAACGAUCCUUCCAUCACCUCUUCUUGGAGCAGCGCCAGAGCGCAGGCCGUAUCCAAGUCCGGCGGCCGCUGCACUAGCACCACCGCUCUGAUGUCCUUCCGCAGUCCCUCGACAAAACGAGUCAGAAAAUAAAACGGAUGAAUUGUGUCAGAGUAGGAAGCCAAAUGAUUGAUAAUCAACUCGAACUGCUCAAUGUAAUGCGCCACUGAAGCUGUUUGUCGAACAGAAUAGAACUGCCUGAUCAAGGUUUGAUGCCUAUCGCGACCAAAACGUGUACACAGCAGGGCAGUAAACUGUUCCCAAUCGAACUCCGCUAAACGCUUCUGAACCGACUGUAGCCAUACAGCAGCUGAGCCAGAGAAGUUCAGGGCCACCAUGGGAACCCAAAACGACGGUAGUAUACUGAACAUCUGAAAGUAUUGUUCGCACAUCGUUUUCCACAAGCUUGGGUUGUCGCCCGUGAACUGUGGGAAGGCGAUGGACGGGUGGGACUGCCCUAAACCUGCUAGCAGCUGACUCGCAUGUGCGAACGGCGACAAAGGGGACAGAGACGUGGUCAGAGAGGAUGACGGACCUGUUGCCGGGGGUGGGGGUGGCGGCGGCGUCUGAAAGGACGCCGCCACGUUCCCUCGUGGCAAGUUGAACACGCCGUGGCCGCUUGGCCCUUGAAGCUCGGUGCCCGCGCCGCCACUGGCCCCCGGAAGGACGCCGGUCGUCGCAGAAGGGCCCUGCUUCUGGAUCAUCCCUUGAGGCUCUUCACCCGCCCUGCCUGCGGGCGGCUGCGCCAUCUGGAGCGCCGCCACCGCGUCGCCGAGAUCGGCCACCCGCUUCUCCAGAUCUGGACGCCAGUGAACCAGAUCGUCGACCUUGGCGGUGGAGACUUGGAUCUCCGCGAUGGCCUUGUUCUGGGCCUUGAGGGUGUUGUCGAGGCGGUCGAGGAAGGCUUCGAUCGCCGGAUCCAUGGCUACCAAGUGCGUACGCGCUUGCCUGAGGCCUCUGGUCUCGAUUAGCUGCGCCAGAGUGGAGCGGUUGCGGGGAAUUUACUGGUCUCUGAUACCAGAUGAUAAGGUACUGGUAGAUACUCCCUCGAUUACUAGCGGCAAUCUCUUGCGGAUACAAGUUAGGUGGCGGUUACAUGAACGAUACAAGAAUUUGGGUGGCUAGGGUGCGUCGCGAGACGGGAAGAGGAAGGGGGAAGAGCCGGCCGCCGUUGCCGUGAUCCUCUGGAUACCGAACCAUUGCGUUGCUGUCUCCUUUAGUAUCGAUGCGGUGGGCAACUUGGACCAUUCUGGGCCGCAGGUCCUGCAGCUGGGCUUCCGGGUUCAAGCCGCGCGUGGGGCGGCUUGUGGCUGGUUGGUGUCGCUGUCUUGUGGGGCACACCUGUCAGGGGCGCUGACAUACGGCAAGCUCAAUUUUGGGUAAAUGACUUGUAUUUUGACAGAUCUUUUGACCUUAUAUGGGUUGAUGCCUUGUAUUUGACAUGAAUAUAGAUGGAUGCCUUAUAUUUUGGUAGACUUUUAACAUGUAGAUGAGUGAAUAAAUAGUAUUUUCCUUGGCAAUUAUUUAUUAUGUGUCAAAAAUAUGAAGGCUAGUGACAAUUGUGCAUAUAUAUGUGAGAAAAAAACAUCAUUAUUUUUAUGCAAAAGGUGAGAUGAACAAAAAUGCAUUCCAUUCCAUAUAUCUAACCAAACACUAAAAUGGAACCGUUCCAUUUCACCUAUUUGUCCAAACCAAACAUAGGAACAGAACCAACCCAUUCUAGUGGAAUGGAACCAUGACAUUACAUUCUACUUCAUUCCCCAACCAAACACACCCAGUAAAUGCUCUUUAGGUACCAUUAGUUUCUCAUAGCAGCAGUACUAAUAUCGAUCGUGCAGUGUGCUGGUAUCAUCAAUCUGUGUAGUUUACUCAGUGGAAUGAUACUUCUUCGGCGACAGUACAAUGAGAAUUAAAUGGUGUUCUAUUCACUAGGUCAUGAUACUUCAACUAAGGAACAAUUGAAACUUCCUGGAUUAGGGGGAACACACAAAAGGAUCAUUCUCCAAUCUACCAUAGACGUCUUGGCAUAUGCUGUUGCAGCAGAGUUCUGUGCCAAAACCUUCAAAAUCAAAUAACAGAACUCACUUCAAUUUUCUUACAUCUAGUCAGUGGUCAAAACAACCAACAAUGCAAAGCUAAGUAAAUAAACUACCAGCUCUGUGCUAGAAAAAAGGAGAUCAGACCUUGGUGAUUGACAGUGAUGGCCUUUGAACAACAGAGGAACGCAAAUCCGCAGAAAUUCA